GAUGAACGCUGGCGGCGUGCCUAAUACAUGCAAGUCGAGCGAACAGACGAGGAGCUUGCUCCUCUGACGUUAGCGGCGGACGGGUGAGUAACACGUGGAUAACCUACCUAUAAGACUGGGAUAACUUCGGGAAACCGGAGCUAAUACCGGAUAAUAUAUUGAACCGCAUGGUUCAAUAGUGAAAGACGGUUUUGCUGUCACUUAUAGAUGGAUCCGCGCCGCAUUAGCUAGUUGGUAAGGUAACGGCUUACCAAGGCAACGAUGCGUAGCCGACCUGAGAGGGUGAUCGGCCACACUGGAACUGAGACACGGUCCAGACUCCUACGGGAGGCAGCAGUAGGGAAUCUUCCGCAAUGGGCGAAAGCCUGACGGAGCAACGCCGCGUGAGUGAUGAAGGUCUUCGGAUCGUAAAACGCUGUUAUUAGGGAAGAACAAAUGUGUAAGUAACUAUGCACGUCUUGACGGUACCUAAGCAGAAAACCACGGCUAACUACGU
rnacentral:rRNA from 1 species